rnacentral:snoRNA from 1 species
UGGACCAGUGAUGCUCUCUGCCAGCAUAUGAGCCUUGAGGGCACGGUGAAUAACAUGUGUCUGCCUGUCCGAGGUCCAC